rnacentral:rRNA from 1 species
GGACCCGCACAAGCAGUGGAGUAUGUGGAUUAAUUCGACGCAACGCGAAGAACCUUACCAGGGCUUGACAUCCGACUAACGAGGCAGAGAUGCGUUAGGUGCCCUUCGGGGAAAGUCGAGACAGGUGGUGCAUGGUUGUCGUCAGCUCGUGUCGUGAGAUGUUGGGUUAAGUCCCGCAACGAGCGCAACCCUUAUUGUUAGUUGCUACGGUUCGGCCGAGCACUCUAGCGAGACUGCCGUUGACAAAACGGAGGAAGGUGGGGACGACGUCAAAUCAUCAUGCCCUUUAUGUCCUGGGCUUCACACGUACUACAAUGGCAGUCAUACAGAGGGAUGCAAUACGGCGACGUGGAGCGAAACCCCAAAAGCUGCCUCAGUUCAGAUUGCAGGCUGAAACCCGCCUGCAUGAAGGUGGAAUUGCUAGUAAUCGCAGAUCAGCAUGCUG